UGCUACUUAACUCAGUUGUUAGAGUAUUGCCUUCAUACGGCGGGAGUCAUUGGUUCAAAUCCAAUAGUAGGUA
rnacentral:tRNA from 1 species